rnacentral:rRNA from 1 species
GACGAACGCUGGCGGCGUGCUUAACACAUGCAAGUCGAACGGAAAGGCCCUGCUUUUGUGGGGUGCUCGAGUGGCGAACGGGUGAGUAACACGUGAGUAACCUGCCCUUGACUGUGGGAUAACUUCAGGAAACUGGGGCUAUUACCGGAUAGGAGCUCCUGCUGCAUGGUGGGGGUUGGAAAGUUUCGGCGGUUGGGGAUGGACUCGCGGCUUAUCAGCUUGUUGGUGGGGUAGUGGCUUACCAAGGCUUUGACGGGUAGCCGGCCUGAGAGGGUGACCGGCCACAUUGGGACUGAGAUACGGCCCAGACUCCUACGGGAGGCAGCAGUGGGGAAUAUUGCACAAUGGGCGGAAGCCUGAUGCAGCAACGCCGCGUGCGGGAUGACGGCCUUCGGGUUGUAAACCGCUUUCGCCUGUGACGAAGCGUGAGUGACGGUAAUGGGUAAAGAAGCACCGGCUAACUACGUG